GUGCGUUUCACACCUGAGCAGGACUCCUCCAGGGGUACAGGAACAGCUCCGGAGAGCACAGAGGAUCUGGUUGCCCUCGUAGGAUGAGAGGUUGUCAGGGUGUGGCAGCACAUCGUACCGAACUGUCAGCACUGACACUACAAAUACGCUCGGAGCCAUUUUGUCAAGUAGAUGACUCUCAUCAUCUCUUUGGGACAAAGAUCUGCAGAGUAAAGCUGAUCAGAGGACAGCGGUGCAGUUCCAGUUCACAGGAGAUCUGAAAACCACAGGACGAGCUGUCUGUUUGGAAGUUUCUGGAUCUUCUACUCUGCCUUGUUCCCCACCUUUAAACCAUGGAGAAGAAAGCUGAGGUACAGGAAAAAGGAACGCCUGGGGAGGAGCAUUCCAUCCAGGUUAAGGAAAUCCCAAACACGGAAGAGGUCCAGAUGAGUUUGUAUGAUGAGUUUGAAGAUUGGUUGAAGCAGCUUGAAGAGCGAGAGGGUCUCACUGAGCCUGCUGAGGUGCAGCAGUUCUUCAGAAAAGAGUUCAGUAAAAGUGCUCAGAAUUUGUCUGACAUGAAGACAGUAAAACAGCUAACAAAGGUUUCUGACUCUGUCUGUCAGAUCCGUGUAGAUGGUUCUG